GCCUUGAUAGUGUAGCGGAUAUCACGAGGGACUGCGGAUCCCUUUACCCGAGUUCAAAUCUCGGUCAGGGCG
rnacentral:tRNA from 5 species